rnacentral:rRNA from 1 species
ACAUGCAAGUCGAGCGCUACCUUCGGGUGGAGCGGCGGACGGGUUAGUAACGCGUGGGAACGUACCCAGAUCUAAGGAAUAGCCACUGGAAACGGUGAGUAAUACCUUAUACGCCCUUCGGGGGAAAGAUUUAUCGGAUUUGGAUCGGCCCGCGUUAGAUUAGAUAGUUGGUGGGGUAAUGGCCUACCAAGUCUACGAUCUAUAGCUGGUUUUAGAGGAUGAUCAGCAACACUGGGACUGAGACACGGCCCAGACUCCUACGGGAGGCAGCAGUGGGGAAUCUUGGACAAUGGGCGCAAGCCUGAUCCAGCCAUGCCGCGUGAGUGAUGAAGGCCUUAGGGUCGUAAAGCUCUUUCGCCAGAGAUGAUAAUGACAGUAUCUGGUAAAGAAACCCCGGCUAACUCCGUGCCAGCAGCCGCGGUAAUACGGAGGGGGUUAGCGUUGUUCGGAAUUACUGGGCGUAAAGCGUACGUAGGCGGAUUAGUCAGUCAGAGGUGAAAUCCCAGGGCUCAACCCUGGAACUGCCUUUGAUACUGCUAGUCUUGAGUUCGAGAGAGGUGAGUGGAAUUCCAAGUGUAGAGGUGAAAUUCGUAGAUAUUUGGAGGAACACCAGUGGCGAAGGCGGCUCACUGGCUCGAUACUGACGCUGAGGUACGAAAGUGUGGGGAGCAAACAGGAUUAGAUACCCUGGUAGUCCACACCGUAAACGAUGAAUGCCAGUCGUCGGGCAGUAUACUGUUCGGUGACACACCUAACGGAUUAAGCAUUCCGCCUGGGGAGUACGGU